rnacentral:rRNA from 1 species
GGUUAAGCGACUAAGCGUACACGGUGGAUGCCCUGGCAGUCAGAGGCGAUGAAGGACGUGCUAAUCUGCGAAAAGCGUCGGUAAGGUGAUAUGAACCGUUACAGCCGGCGAUGUCCGAAUGGGGAAACCCAGUGCAAUUCGUUGCACUAUCGUUAACUGAAUACAUAGGUUAACGAGGCGAACCGGGGGAACUGAAACAUCUAAGUACCCCGAGGAAAAGAAAUCAACCGAGAUUCCCCCAGUAGCGGCGAGCGAACGGGGAGCAGCCCAGAGUCUGAAUCAGCUUGUGUGUUAGUGGAACGGUCUGGAAAGUCCGACGGUACAGGGUGAUAGUCCCGUACACCAAAAUGCACAGGCUGUGAACUCGAAGAGUAGGGCGGGACACGUGGUAUCCUGUCUGAAUAUGGGGGGACCAUCCUCCAAGGCUAAAUACUCCUGACUGACCGAUAGUGAACCAGUACCGUGAGGGAAAGGCGAAAAGAACCCCGGCGAGGGGAGUGAAAAAGAACCUGAAACCGUGUACGUACAAGCAGUGGGAGCACCUUCGGGUGUGACUGCGUACCUUUUGUAUAAUGGGUCAGCGACUUAUAUUCUGUAGCAAGGUUAACCGUAUAGGGGAGCCGCAGGGAAACCGAGUCUUAACUGGGCGUUAAGUUGCAGGGUAUAGACCCGAAACCCGGUGAUCUAGCCAUGGGCAGGUUGAAGGUUGGGUAACACUAACUGGAGGACCGAACCGACUAAUGUUGAAAAAUUAGCGGAUGACUUGUGGCUGGGGGUGAAAGGCCAAUCAAACCGGGAGAUAGCUGGUUCUCCCCGAAAGCUAUUUAGGUAGCGCCUCGUGAACUCAUCUUCGGGGGUAGAGCACUGUUUCGGCUAGGGGGUCAUCCCGACUUACCAACCCGAUGCAAACUACGAAUACCGAAGAAUGUUAUCACGGGAGACACACGGCGGGUGCUAACGUCCGUCGUGAAGAGGGAAACAACCCAGACCGCCAGCUAAGGUCCCAAAGUCAUGGUUAAGUGGGAAACGAUGUGGGAAGGCACAGACAGCCAGGAUGUUGGCUUAGAAGCAGCCAUCAUUUAAAGAAAGCGUAAUAGCUCACUGGUCGAGUCGGCCUGCGCGGAAGAUGUAACGGGGCUAAACCAUGCACCGAAGCUGCGGCAGCGACACUAUGUGUUGUUGGGUAGGGGAGCGUUCUGUAAGCCUGCGAAGGUGUGCUGUGAGGCAUGCUGGAGGUAUCAGAAGUGCGAAUGCUGACAUAAGUAACGAUAAAGCGGGUGAAAAGCCCGCUCGCCGGAAGACCAAGGGUUCCUGUCCAACGUUAAUCGGGGCAGGGUGAGUCGACCCCUAAGGCGAGGCCGAAAGGCGUAGUCGAUGGGAAACAGGUUAAUAUUCCUGUACUUGGUGUUACUGCGAAGGGGGGACGGAGAAGGCUAUGUUAGCCGGGCGACGGUUGUCCCGGUUUAAGCAUGUAGGCUGGUUGUCCAGGCAAAUCCGGAUAAUCAAGGCUGAGGUGUGAUGACGAGGCACUACGGUGCUGAAGUAACAAAUGCCCUGCUUCCAGGAAAAGCCUCUAAGCAUCAGGUAACAUUAAAUCGUACCCCAAACCGACACAGGUGGUCAGGUAGAGAAUACCAAGGCGCUUGAGAGAACUCGGGUGAAGGAACUAGGCAAAAUGGUGCCGUAACUUCGGGAGAAGGCACGCUGGUGUGUAGGUGAAGCCCCUGCGGGUGGAGCUGAGACCAGUCGAAGAUACCAGCUGGCUGCAACUGUUUAUUAAAAACACAGCACUGUGCAAACACGAAAGUGGACGUAUACGGUGUGACGCCUGCCCGGUGCCGGAAGGUUAAUUGAUGGGGUUAUCCGUAAGGAGAAGCUCUUGAUCGAAGCCCCGGUAAACGGCGGCCGUAACUAUAACGGUCCUAAGGUAGCGAAAUUCCUUGUCGGGUAAGUUCCGACCUGCACGAAUGGCGUAAUGAUGGCCAGGCUGUCUCCACCCGAGACUCAGUGAAAUUGAACUCGCUGUGAAGAUGCAGUGUACCCGCGGCAAGACGGAAAGACCCCGUGAACCUUUACUAUAGCUUGACACUGAACAUUGAGCCUUGAUGUGUAGGAUAGGUGGGAGGCUUUGAAGCGUGGACGCCAGUCUGCGUGGAGCCAACCUUGAAAUACCACCCUUUAAUGUUUGAUGUUCUAACGUUGGCCCCUGACCGGGGUUGCGGACAGUGUCUGGUGGGUAGUUUGACUGGGGCGGUCUCCUCCCAAAGCGUAACGGAGGAGCACGAAGGUUAGCUAAUCCUGGUCGGACAUCAGGAGGUUAGUGCAAUGGCAUAAGCUAGCUUGACUGCGAGCGUGACGGCGCGAGCAGGUGCGAAAGCAGGUCAUAGUGAUCCGGUGGUUCUGAAUGGAAGGGCCAUCGCUCAACGGAUAAAAGGUACUCCGGGGAUAACAGGCUGAUACCGCCCAAGAGUUCAUAUCGACGGCGGUGUUUGGCACCUCGAUGUCGGCUCAUCACAUCCUGGGGCUGAAGUAGGUCCCAAGGGUAUGGCUGUUCGCCAUUUAAAGUGGUACGCGAGCUGGGUUUAGAACGUCGUGAGACAGUUCGGUCCCUAUCUGCCGUGGGCGCUGGAGAAUUGAGGGGGGCUGCUCCUAGUACGAGAGGACCGGAGUGGACGCAUCACUGGUGUUCGGGUUGUCAUGCCAAUGGCACUGCCCGGUAGCUAAAUGCGGAAGAGAUAAGUGCUGAAAGCAUCUAAGCACGAAACUUGCCCCGAGAUGAGUUCUCCCUGAGACUUUAAGUCUCCUGAAGGAACGUUAAAGACGAUGACGUUGAUAGGCCGGGUGUGUAAGCGCAGCGAUGCGUUGAGCUAACCGGUACUAAUGAACCGUGAGGCUUAACCUU